UUGAUCUGAGAGAGCAGAUGGGGGAAAGGACGGGGAACAGGAAGGAUAUGGGGAGGGGGAGAGAGAGAAGGAGUGAGUAUGAACAUGGACAAGUGAUAAUUCGAAGCCCAAGCCCAGACAAAUGAGGGUGUGACGCAAGGGGGGGAGCCAUUCAGUGCAGUACUUUGGGCACUAUGGUUCUGAUUAGCACACCACAGGACAAUACAGCAGGCUGCUCCAGGUUGCCAAGAAGGUCUGCACGCUGGAGACUGGGAAAGAGAAAAGAGAGGGGGAUCUGGAUCUGCCCAGUGCUGCUCCAUUUCCUGCUAAUGGUGGCCACUCAGAGUCUCAUCCUCCUCCCCAAGAUGCAACAAUGUGUGACAGAGGAGGGAGACCCAGGAUCACUGGGGCACAAACCAAGAAAGCUGGCAAUGAAGGACAUCUGGGGGAAGCCAGCAAGAGCAGGAGCCCUGACUCACAAAGAAAAUGGGCUCUAGAGAUGGGAACUGAGCUCUCACUUCUCCCUUCCUGCUGACUGCUGCAGCAGAAGCUCCUGGUGUCGCCAUCUAUCUGAGUCUCUUCUCUCCCGACAGCUGCUCUGAGCUCCCCACGGACCCACCUCUACCUGGUGUACACUCAGGUGAUCUCCUGUGAAGGGGUCAUUUCCACCAAAGGAGUUGCGACCUACAAGUUGAGAACUGCUGCUCUAGAAACUCAUAGUAAUCAACACUUCCCCUCAUCACCCAUCUUCCUCUAUCAAGUCCCGGGAGACUUAGAAGAUGUUGAGGAAACUCUCAAAGAACUCUGAAAGAAUAAAAUAUUCGUGGUUGUGACAACGCUGCGAACAAUGGCACAGGCACCCUCUGGCCUCUCAGAAGUAGAAGGUGGCUCAAGAUGAGCUGAGAGCAUCUCAGAUGGGACCUGAGCCAGGGCAGAGCUGAGGUUUGAAUCCUUGCCCGUUCAUCUCCCAGCUGCUGUGACCCAAUCAAAUGCUUUCAUCCGUCGUGCCAACGGAAGAGUGGGGUUUGGGACCUCUUUGAUGCAGACAGAAGUUCCCAAGAACUGUUCAAGGCUUCAGAGUCAUGAUUUCAAAGAGGUUUGUGGAAAUGUUUCAUUAAUUCUUAUAAAGAAAUCUUCUUUCCCUAAUUUUUUAUAAACUUCAGACAUUUACUUACAAUUACAUUUGUUCUGUGAAUACAAUGACAGAAAUUAAUAAUUCAUAGCUUUUGUCAAGGAAAAAUUUAAAAGGGACAGUUGUUCAAUCAAAUACAGCUUUAAAUGAACAAUUUUUAUUUAAAUAAGAUGAAAAAAAACAAAUAAUGAGGACUGUUAUUGUACUUUGGAGGAAUCUCAUCUUUUCCUAAAUUAUAUCUGUGCCACGCCAGUGACAUGAAAUCCUGGGUUGCUCAGAGCACGUCAUGAAAAUAACAGGCUCUCAUCUGAUAACCUGAAACUUGACACUCGCUCACUGCUUACCGUGCCACCUGAACAUUCAGAUGCCUUCUGCUUGGUGACAGCCACAGAGCAGGAAAACGCAAGGCGGGAGUGACACGUCGCUUCUACAAUGGAGAAAUUAAGUUCCAGAGGGAAAGAGACAAGGGGACUUUCAAGUUCCCACCAAUGAGCCUAGGGUGGAGGCCCCUUAUUCCCAGGCCAGGCUCUCAGAGUUGGGGUGCCCUCUGUAGGUCAUUGUACCCUGGGGCCCGCCUGCAAAAGAGCUGCCAACUAUUGAUUAUGAUCUGCAGUGCACUAGGCAAACCAAACCUUUCGUGACAACUGCCUGGCUGCUUCCCGAAAAGCCAGCGUUAACCAUUGCUUGCUUUUCAUGAAGACGACGUUUAAAAAGGUUGCUUCCCCUGUUAAAAUGACAAGUGCCUGAUGACUCGCAUUCAACUACCAUGGAAAGAGGGGUGCCAGAUAAAGCCAAGUCCUGGGAAAAGUCAGAUGUGGGGAGGACCCCAAGAUGGUCUCUGGCGGGGGUCUAAGACAGUGGCUGAGAAAACCACACCCUUCCAUCCCACCUUGCCUGGCUGUUUCCUCCAAUCCUUAGCUGUGUCAGUCAUAAAAAUGACACCUGUAUUUAAAGAAAAACAGCAAAAAAAUCCAGAGAGGCAGCCUAAAAAUACCUGGUUAGUAGAAAGAUCCCUGGGGAAAAGGGAAUUGAACUUCUUGGUAAGAAUCAAAUAUCUUAGAUAGAUAGAUAGAUAGAUAGAUAGAUAGAUAGAUAGAUAGAUAGAUAGAUAGAUAGAAGAUGGAUGAUAGAUAGAUAGAUAGAUAGAUAGAUAGAUAGAUAGAUAGAUAGAUAGAUAGAAUGAUACCUGACUGUGCCUUCUGAGAGAAGGGUCUGACCUCUCUAAGUGGGUCUGUCUAGGUCCUGAUCAGAAAUCAAAGCUUGUAUGAAUUGCCCUCUUUGCUGCAAACGGCUGUUGAGGGUGGUGUUUGGAGGUGAGAAAAUGUGUGGUCUUCCUGGAUCCAUCAGUUUCCCACUUCUGAGUACAGUAUUGACCCCCGUCUCGCAACCAAAAGAAACAAACGGAUCUGAUUAGCAAAUACUUUCAUCUACGUUCCGAUUGAAGUCUCUGAGACUUCCUCAUUUUAGAAAAUCCCGUUUUAAUGCACAGCGUGUCAGGUAGCUGAAAACACUUCCUCUCCCAUCAGUUGCCCUGUCCCUCCCAUGGCCAGGGCAGUCACCCACAACAGCAGCAGCAGCUGCAGCAAAGCCCAGAGCAGUGUGGGCAAGGCUCUGGGAUGGAAGGCUCUCCUGCUGUUUCUAAUACCUAUGUGUAUCGCGUUCCAUCGCAACAUGCUUACACAUAGGACAGCCCCCGGGGUGGCCAGGCCAAGACAUACUCCGCGGUGGAGCUGUCUUGUCUUCUCAUCGGGAGCGGUGAGGUGGAAAACCCAGCUCUCCCUGGUAGGAGCAGCCGAAUGAAAUUGUAGCCAAAGAGGCAACCCUUUGGCCAUCUGAGAAGUCUAACCAGUUGGCACAUUGUUGUCCCCAAACGAGCCGGCAGGAAGUGGGGUUUCCUAAAACUGGGUUUUAAAGCACUUACAACAGGAAACCAUUCCGCAUGCAUGUUAGAUCUCUCUAAUGACUGACUAACUAGAAACAGGCUAUCUUAAUACUCUGCCCCGAGCCAUUACAAAUGGCUUUCUUUCCAGACUUCAUUAGAAUAUUUACUACGUUUUGGAUGGAAGACUUUUGACACUGCAGUCAUAAAAUUUACAGGGGACUUUUCUUCUUUCUCUCUUUUCAGUCUGAGAAGAGACUUUGGGAGAACAGGGGGAAGCUCUUAGCUCCCCCAGCCCUCAGUCGCAUGCAUUAGUCUUCAUGUCUCACAACUUCUAGUUAAGGAAAUAAAUAGGCUUGUGGUCCUCCAAUAAACUACCUCCAGAGGAAAAAAAAAGCUAUUAUCUCCCCUUUGCUGACUCUCGCCUCUUUCAAAUGUGACAAGGGAGGGGAAAAAUCCCAAAGUGAACGCUUCCUCCCUGCGUUUUCCCGAUCUUUAUGAUUGGGUCACAAUCAUUGUUCUCAUUUCCCCUUUACGAAAACAAAAGACUGGGGGUUUCCAGAAGCCACACAGCUAGUAGAUGAUAGAGCAAAGAAUGAGAUGACGGUGUCAGUCAAACACAGCUCCUCAUAGAGUUGCUAUGUUGCUAUGAAUGCCCAUCCUUGAGGAGAGCUCGUCUACAUGGACAGGGUCUGCUUCCUAGAAAAGAAAUCUGAACUCAUUUUUCCUCUCUCUGCAUUUCAGGCACCUAACACUGUCAUACUCGUGACUGUACUACUUUCUUUCCUCGUUGCUGUGACCAAAUACCUGAUAAGAAGGAAAGGUUUACUUUGGCUCACAGUUUGAGGGGAUACAGCACAUCAAAGUAAGGAAAGCUUAGGGGUGGGAGCAUGGGUGUCUUAGUUAGGGUUUCUGUUGCUAUGAAGAGACACCAUGACCAAGGCAACUCUUAUAAAGGCAAAUAUUUAAUUGGGGCUGGCUUAUGGUUUCAGAGAUUUAGUCCAUUAUCAUCGUAGCAGGAAGCAUGGCAGCCUGCAGGCAGACGUGGUGUUGGAGAAGGAGCUGAGAGUUCUGAAUCUUGAUCCAAAGGAAGCCAGGAGAAAAAGACUGUCUCUUCGGCACUGAGCAGAACAUGAAAAUAGGACCUCCAAGCCCACCAACACAGUGACACAACUCCUCCAACAAGGACACACCUAUUUCAACAAGGAUACACCUACUAAUUGUGUCACUCCCUGUGGGCCAAGCACAGGAGUUUAUGGGACCUAUUCAAGCCACUACAAUGGGGCAGCUGACACAGUGUUGCACUCAGGAAGCAGAGAGCAAGGAAUGUUGGUCCUGUUUGCUUUUUCUUCCUCUUCUUUGUUCAGUCUUCCAGCCCUUGAGAUGUAUUUUCUUUAUUCAGGGAGGACUCUGGGUCCUCAGUUAAGCUUCUCUGGGCAAACUUUCACAGAUGAGUGUGGAGGUGUGUUUCCUGGGUGAUUGUAUAACCUACUCAGCUUGAUAAGGAAGUUUAACCACCUCAGUGACCACGUAGAAGUCAACCCUCCAAUCUGCAGGGAUUGAUUUACUAUUUAGCUGGGCUGGAGAGUUGGCUCAGUGGUUAAGAGAGCACUUGUUUCUCUUGCAGAGGACCUGGGUUCAAUUCCAGCACACACAUAGCUGUUUAAAAGUGUCUGUAAUUCCAGUUCCAUGGAACUAGAUAUCCUCUUCAGACACCCCCCCCCCAAGCAGCAAAUACACAUAGCAAACAUAUAUACAUACUACAUACACAUAAAACACACCAUACACAUAAAGUAAUUUUUUAAAAAGAAAGAAGAUGCUAUGGGGCAUUGGCCAAGGCUCUAUUUGUUACAGGAUCCAGUUGGACUGUGACUAUGGAGCAUGCUGGCAGCAAGAUUGAACAGAGAGCUAUGGUAAGAGAAGACAUGGAUAUGACAGGAUGAGAGACACUGAAUUGGAUUCAGAAUGAGAUCAAGGAAAGAUUAUGAUAUAGAAUAUUUGAGUAAGCUCUGACUAAAGUUAGGAAGGUGAUGCAUUAUGAGAACAUUCUGGAACAAAUGAGCAUUAAGCACCAGAGCUUUAUGGAGUGCCUGAAGAACAGAAGAAGGGACCUCAAUGUCACUGCUUGUGUCCCUGUGGUUCUAUAUUAUACUCAGAACCCUGGGUUCUCUGGAUCCUGUGUAUGUACUAGAAAGAAGCAUAUCCUUAUCACAUAGGUGGUCUUGUAUCUGAACAUCCCCACUGGGUCUCGCCACAUCCCAUCCCAAUAUGUAUGUGGAAUGUUUCAAUCAGUAGGCUUCAAAGACUACAUAGUCUCCUAGGUGUUCUCUCUCUCUCUCUCUCUCUCUCUCUCUCUCUCUCUCUCUCUCUCUCUCUCUCUCUCUCUCUCUGCAGAGCCAAGACAAGGAUGAUCAUUCCUAAAACACGGUGUGCAUCCUCUUAACAAGCAACGAAGAGCACGUGCAUUAUCAUGUUUCCCCCUUUUUGCCUUGAUUCCUAGGAAGCUCAAUGUUAAAUUCAACAUUCAAUUAAAACAACAAAGUUAGCCUUCAAGGCUUUGAGUAUUUUUCAUGCUUAAUUGUGAAUCUGCUUCUCAUUGCCUACAGCCUCUAGUGCUUUUGGACGGGUGUAUAAAUAACACAUGUACAUAAAAUCAUGUAUGCCAAGCAUAGAAGAAGGUUGAUCUGCCUAAACAAAUAACAUUUAUAAUCAGCUCUCUGUAUGUUCCAGAUAGGGACUGUUUACGAUUCCAUUUCCAUGGAGGCAACCAUGGAAAUGACCAGACUGGAUUAGGAAAGGAGAAAGAAAUACUGUUGUAGAGCAAUAUGCUAAUAUUUCCUGGGCGGGGGUGUUGAAUGAGAAUGGAUGCCAUAGGCCCAUAUAUCUGAAUGCUCUGUCCAUAUUGAUGGAACUGUUUGGGAAGGAUUAAGAGGUGUGGCCUUUUGGGAGAUGUGUCACCAGAGGUUUCCAAUCUCCAAACCAUUUCCAGUCUCUUUCUCUCUGCCCCUCAUUUGUGAACCAUAUAUAAGCUCUCAGCUACUGCUCUGCUGGCUGCCGUGCUUCCUGUCAUAAUUGGUGUGAACUCUAACCGUCUGCAACCAUGAACCUCAAAAUUAAAUGAUUUUUUUAAUGUAACUUUGGUCAAGGUAGUUUGUCAUACAAAUAGAAAAGUAACUAAGACAUCUCCUUUCCUCAACAACCAUGGCUACCAGUACUAUGACCCUAUGUCAUCCCCCAUCGCAUGAAUGUUGGGCAUGGCCACAUGACACGCCUUAGACAAUGAUACAUUAGUACGUUGCAUACAGAAACUUGAUGAGCAACCUCACACGUGCCCUCCUUGAAAUAAUGCUGCCACCAUGUGACCCAGCCAGGUAACUUUAUUGAAGAUGACAGAUACAUAGAGAGGUCCAAUCAUUACAGCUGGUCUUUGGCUAAAUAAAGCCGUAUGAAUGAGCCCAACAAAAUAGCCGAGUCUAUAAGCAAGUAGAAUGGACUGAAUGAGAGUGUACUCCGAAAGCUGAGACAUUUCAACUUUGCUUCCCAGUUUGUGGCACCAUUUGAAGAGGUUUAGAAAAUGAAACGAUAAUGAAGGAAGUAUGUCACUGUGGUUUAUUUAAGAGUCUAAAGCCCCCUCUGCUUCAACUUCAUUCUCUCUGCUUUGUUCUUGCAUUUCAAGAUAUAGAAUCUCACCUUUCUGCCCUUGCAGCCAUGACUGCUCUGUCAUUAUCCCUCUCUGCCAUGGUGGACUCUUGUGACCCUGAAAUCAGGAACCAAGAUAGACACUUCCUUAAGUAUCCUUUGUCCUGGGAUUUUUAUCCCAACAACAGACAGAUGACUGAUACAGUAAUCCAUGCCUUCUUUGGAAUUAAUAAAACUUUGUUCUCUCUUUUGUCAGGUUCUGACUGUAGUUGAAGGAGCAGUAGACAACUGAUAUAUUCAUCUAUACAUCCAAAAAGUCUUUCAGGAUCAGUUCUGCCAAAUUGAUGUUGCCUGGGUCCAUUAAAUCCUGAACACUUGUCUUAGAACAUCAAAGCUUUCUCAUAGUCUCAGUUUGCCCCAAAUAAAGCAUUGCAAUGAAGGCCACAUCUUUUCUGAAAACAUACCACAUGGGCCACAGUCCACCACCCAGGAGCUGCAUUGCUAAUGUGGAAACUACCAUCUAAAAGAGCCUAGUCAGUGUUAAGGCCAAAAUAAUUUAGACCAUGUAUGAUUGACAGAACAGAUGGAGAUCUGAAAAGAGGAGAGAGAGAGAGAGAGAGAGAGAGAGAGAGAGAGAGAGAGAGAGAGGAGAGAGAGAGAGAGAGAGAGAGAGAGAGAGAGAGAGAGAGAGAGAGAGAGAGAGAGAGGAGAGAGAGAGAGAGAGAGAGAGAGAGAGAGAGAGAGAGAGAGUAAGAGAGAGUGUUGAGAAACAUCCUAGUACCUAUAGUAUGACAUAUACAGGAAGGUAUCAAUGUGUAUCAAAUGUAUGCCCACAUAAAACAAAACCAUUUUACCCCAUGUGGCACUAGACUAGAAAGUUAGCCAUCAGGAAGAAACCAUCUUGUUAGUGAGCAUUUCUCCUCAUACCGACUCCAUAGAGAACAAAGGGCUCAUAGGUCACAAUAGCAGGCUCAUGAUAACUUUGAAGGAUAUUUAGAAAUGUUAACAGUCACUUACUGAACUGUUGGUAGCUUGAACCCAGCCAUAAUAGAACUUAGAGCGAAUCCCUGAGUAUAUGCUAGUAACAGGUUACUGUGCUUGAAUCUUUCUAUCUACUUGAUGAUUUCUUAUUUUUUUUAAAGGGUACAUUUAAAAAGCUGUUGAGAGUGAGAAUGGUUUAUAUAUUUCUUCAUGCAUAUAUUUAACAUUUACUCAGGCAAAGUCUGGGAAAUGGACUUUACAAGAUAGAAUGCAUCAUUCUUGUGAGGAAAAAAAUUAAAUAGAACAAAUGGCCAAGAUUCGGACCUGUUUUUUCAGUCUAUGUUUUUUAAAAUCCUCUGAAGGUAGCCUCCCCCUACUUCAUCAGCAAACAAGAAAAUGAAAGGAAAACCUUUUGAUUUUAGAAGUGGAGAAAACAAUUCCUCUACCUCUAAAAUAAUACAAGUUGUUCACACAUUGCUAGGUUGGUGGGCGUGGGUUUGCUCAUCAGAACACCCUCAAUAUUUCAAGGAGCCUUCAAGAGACAGUGUCUAGUGGGAAGAGGUUAGGUGUUGCCUUAGGUCCAUGCCCAACUCCCAGCAGUGAGCAGACUGUGUGGUAGGAUCAGUUCCCAGGAGCGCACCACUGUAAGUUAAGACUGUCUUAUGCACUUGUCAUUCAUUAGACACUCACUGGGCUGUUUAGACUCACUAGUCCCAAGUAUAAUGAGCCAAAUAAACCUCAUUUCUUUAUAAGGUAUCCAUCCUCCAGUAUUUUAUUAUAGCUACAGAAGAUAAGCAAAGAUAGCCAGGCAGUGGGCAGGGCAGUUAUUCAAUCACCACCACAGGUCCAGUUUACAGAUAACACUGCUGAGACCUGAAAAAGUAGACUGACUUGGCUGAGGUCACACUGGCAGUAAAUACCAGAUUAAAUGCCUGUGUCAUUUUCACUACAUGGUACCGGUUCUAUGAUUAAAUUGUGGCAGGUGCUGAAAGGUAUCGUAAAUCAUGAAGCCUAACCAAUGCCUCAUAGCUCCCUCAAGCCUUCAUUACGGACUACAUGUCUUACUUUAGUUAGAGAAAAGAGUGCAUGAUUAAAGUGAAAAAAAGAAAAAUCAGCGUACGAAGGUGUGAGCUAGAGACAUGCAAGGAUCCAGAACCAAUGACAACUGUAAGCUCAAGGCAGGGAGUCACUCAAAGACAGGGACUUAAUGUGUCCCUUGUCCACUGUCUGCCACUUAACUACUUAUUGGCAGGAGAAGUUGUUUAUCUCAAUGUGUGCUUAGGAAGAAAGAAAAAGAAAGAAAGAAAGAAAGAAAGAAAGAAAGAAAGAAAGAAAGAAAGAAAGAAAGAGAAAGAAAGAGUGAGUGAGUGUGUAGAGGGAGGGAGAGAGGAGAGGGAGAGAGGGGGAGAGGGGAGAGGGAGAGAGGGAGAGGGAGAGAAGGAGGGAGGGAGGGAAGGAGAGAGAGAGAAAGAGAAAGAAAAGAAGGAAAAAGAAGAAAAGAGAAAAGGAAACUGAGAUGGAGAAAAAGGAGAAGGAAGAAGAAAGGGCUGAAGUAAAGUGGGGAGGAUAAGGAAGAGAAAUUCAUCAGGAAAGCAAAGGAGAAGUAAAAACCACAGUGCUAUAUGGUUCUCCAGUGGUCUAGAGCACCCAACUGCCUCCUAGUAUGCAUGGGCGAUAACAUGGCUAAGAUAAAAGAUGAUACUAAUAAUGAUGACAACCAAUCAUAUUUUUUUGAAUAAAUAAUACACAGGACAGGAUUUUUUCCAAAAGAUAAUAGUAAUAAAAAGUGCGUUUCAGUACAGCUGAUAUUUAUGUAGACCAAUAUGAAUCAUAUAGAAAAUUCAUUUUCCAGAGCAGCUGAUUCCCAAACCACAGGGAGUCAUUACCAUCAAUUAUAGAUGCGUUCACAUUCAAAUGACUCCUGUGGUGGAGGUCGUGAUGAAUGGACCGUCCCAGGAUCUGUCUGCACAUCUACAUCAAGUGUUAGCCAUUUUUCUUUCUCUCAAGAAAUCAAAUUCACCUUGAGAGUUAAUUUGGGUUAGGGGAGCCUGCCUAGUUUGUUGUUCUUGUUGUUUGUUGUUGUUCUUGUUGUUGUUGCUGCUGCUGCUGCUGCUGUUGCUCUCUCUCUCUCUCUCUCUCUCUCUCUCUCUCUCUCUGUGUGUGUGUGUGUGUGUGUGUGUGUGUGUAUUAAUCUAAAUUUCUUAUCUCUUGCCACACCUCCUAGAAUUUGAAUGAAACUCCCUGGUGGGCGUACUUUAGAAUAAGCAUUUUCUCAGUCUUAACAACUCAAGCAGUUCAGACGGGUGUCCACUGGUCACUCAGUUUAGAGCCUACACCUCACCUCACCCACAUCUUCUCAGCAACUUCAUCAUUACAGAGGGACAACGCUGAAGUCUUUCUUGAAGUGUUUCCGCAAGGAACAAUGCUUACCUUAAUAUUUGGCCUUCAGUAACGGAAACUGCCAUCAGAGAGCUGAGCCCAAAAUAUACCUUAGAUGGCUCUAUCAGACCAUCCUUUCUUUUCAAGUUUGGGUUCUUAGUCUCUGAGUACAGAAUGAAGUCUAGUCCCCAAAUCCCCAGUUAAGAUACAGUGUCUGGUUUGCAAACUGUCCUAAAACCCUAGGUCACCGAUGUAGGCUCAGGAUCUACAGCUCAACAGGAUUUUACAGAGACGCAGGGUUAGCUUCAUGAUGUCUGGAUUGUGAGCUUAGCUCACUGAAAACAGUUGGGUGGGGCUAUUACACAGCCUGAGUCCUGGAGUUGACAGCAAUUCUCUUAGGGGGAGAGGAUUUCAAACUUUAAUUGAAUUUUCUCGGGGUUAUUUUGAGUGAGCACUGGUUAGGCUAGUCCCAAUUUUAUUUUUUAUUUUUAUUUUUUGUUUCCUCCAGAACCUCAUUAAACGCACACAGCAAACAAACCAGCACCCUAAAUGCAAUAAUUCCAUCAAUCAAGGUCUAUGCUAGAGAUAGCCCAGACACACCACAAUUACCCUUAACUGACAGGUAAGUUCCAGGAAGCCAA